CAGGGGUUCCCGGUGUACCAGGGCCACCGGGUCUGCCUGGCCUAUCUGGACCACAGGGACCACCUGGAUUGUCGAUCAAGGGUGAACCUGGAGAUCCAGGCCUCAGAGGUCCUCGCGGGAAAAGUGGGAUCAAAGGAGAGAAGGGAGGAAGAGGAGAAUCGGGGAAAGCUGGCUUACCUGGUCCAAUAGGACUGGACGGUAUUCCUGGACUUUCUGGGCCAAAAGGUGAAAAGG